GACGUAGGAUCCGAGCGUUGUCCGGAAUUACUGGGCGUAAAGCGCGCGUAGGCGGCUUUGCAAGUCGGGUGUGAAAUCCCCAGGCUUAACCUGGGAACUGCAUUCGAGACUGCAUUGCUAGAGUAUGGGAGAGGGAAGUGGAAUUUCCGGUGUAGCGGUGAAAUGCGUAGAUAUCGGAAGGAACAUCAGUGGCGAAAGCGACUUCCUGGACCAGUACCGACGUUCAGGCACGAAAGCGUGGGGAGCAAACAGG
rnacentral:rRNA from 1 species